AGUGAACGCUGGCGGUAGGCCUAACACAUGCAAGUCGAACGGCAGCACAGUAAGAGCUUGCUCUUACGGGUGGCGAGUGGCGGACGGGUGAGGAAUACAUCGGAAUCUACUUUUUCGUGGGGGAUAACGUAGGGAAACUUACGCUAAUACCGCAUACGACCUACGGGUGAAAGCAGGGGAUCUUCGGACCUUGCGCGAUUGAAUGAGCCGAUGUCGGAUUAGCUAGUUGGCGGGGUAAAGGCCCACCAAGGCGACGAUCCGUAGCUGGUCUGAGAGGAUGAUCAGCCACACUGGAACUGAGACACGGUCCAGACUCCUACGGGAGGCAGCAGUGGGGAAUAUUGGACAAUGGGCGCAAGCCUGAUCCAGCCAUACCGCGUGGGUGAAGAAGGCCUUCGGGUUGUAAAGCCCUUUUGUUGGGAAAGAAAAGCAGCAGGUUAAUACCCCGCUGUUCUGACGGGACCCAAAGAAUAAGCACCGGCUACCUUCG
rnacentral:rRNA from 1 species